rnacentral:tRNA from 1 species
GCGGGGGUAGCCAAGCGGUCAAAGGCGCACGGCUCAAGACCGUGUGGCUUAGUGCCUUCGCAGGUUCGAAAAUAAGGGCGCCUUCCCCGCCCU